ACUGCGGGGGUGGGGGCGGGGGCCUGGCCAGCCAGCCCUGCAGAGGGCCCCGCGGGCGAGGCCGAGCCCUCCAGAGUGCGCUCUGCCCCCUAGGUGCCCCGCAGGUGGGCUCCUCGGACUGGCCUUGGCCCGGGGGUCUUUAAGGAGGGGUUCGCCACGCACUUUCCCUGGCGUCUCAAGAAGACCAUCCUUCGGUCUGGAUCCCUGGCCACGCCUUUUGGCCCAGGGAGGCCCGAGUCCGGCUGUCUGUCUCCAUCCCUGCUUCGCACUUAGCGGAGACCCUGCCUCGCCCUUUCUCUCCCCUCUUAUCUCCGUAGACCUCUCAUAUUCCCGGGGUCCCUUUGCCCUGUAUCCCAAGACGUGCCCUUUUCUUAGUAACAGCUCUAAACGAAAGACAUGAGGCCUAAGACUGAAAUGAGGUUGUUUUGAGGUCAUCUGAUUUCUGACUAGAAGGUGUGCGAUCGCCUCGUCCUGAAACCACUGCAGACAGAAUGGUUUGCAAUUUUUUUUGGUGAUGGCAUGUUCAGAAUCUUGGAUCCCUAAGUUGAAUAUGUUGGAAAUAUUUAGGAACUCUGGAAAUUGUUGUUUUUGUAUAUAUAAUGACUUACUAGGUGAAUCAAUAGAUUUAAUAAAACAUAUAGAAUAGGC